rnacentral:lncRNA from 1 species
UCAGCUGGACCCAAUAUUGAAUCCGGAACAACUGAAUUCAAGAUCUGACAACUAAGCCGAAAGAAAGUCUUAUCAGUUUAGGGCAAGAAAGUUUUAUUUUAUGUAUUUAAAUAUAUAAACCUAAGAAGGGGUCCAUAGAUUCCACCAGACUGCCAAAUGGAUACAUGAAAUAUACAAAAAGAGAAAAAAAAACAGAUUGGAAUUUACAUAAUGGCAAUGACCUUGAAGAAUUAAAUUCGAUAUGAAGCAUUUCCCUCCAAAGAGCUAUCUGGACACCAGAAUGACCUUUGAGAUCUGGAGAAUUCUCAUCUGGUAUUAUGUUUAGUGGACUCAACUUCUCCAGAUACUGUAUCCACAGUGAUAAUCCUUCUUGAAAAGCCUUGAUAAUUCUGUCCUCAAGAGUCUUCAAAAGCAAAUUGAGUUGUCUGCUUACUUAGUUCAGAGAAGUCUUCAGAGGAUCAUAAAAGCUGAGAGAGAAGAUGUUUGUAAGUGGAGUAUGAAUGGGUGAAAAAUAGAAAAAAAAGACGACAAAGGGAAGAUAUAGGGAAGGGAGGAAGGGGGAAAGGAAUAAAGUUAGAAAAAAAGAUAGGUAAAAAGUAAGG